GUAGUGACGUCAGAAGUGACGCUUACAGCCCUCGACCCUGCUCUUUUUUUUUCAAUGAUCAACACGCAGGGUGUGUGACAGCUGUCUUUUUCUCUCACUGUGGACUGACAGGGCGGACCUGCACAGCAAAAGUCUGCAAGGGCAACGCCUCAGCGAGGCUUGGCAAAGUAAGCAGCAACGAUUGAGCUACCAACUUUCAUCUUCAAAGUAGCACCACGAGGCUUUGCAAUGCCGUUUUGCGAACGGUGCAAAGGUAUGGCACCCCAAUCGAAGAAGGACGCAGGCGUCAGCAUUAUCACUCCGGGCUACAUGGCCUUGCUUCAGAGGAUGUGCACAACCACCAAGGCGACUGUUGAAGAUGUCAUCGCUGCCUUCAAGUUAUUACGCUCUUUUUUGGAUCGCAGAAACCCUGAGCGUUAUUCAGCACUAUCAUCGUUAUUGUCGACUUCAUCCUGCCGUGCCAAAAAACGCAGCGUCAAGUGCGGAUGCAACGUCAAGAAUCUGGCAACAAGCUGAAAAAAAUAAACAUGCAUUAGAGCUCAUGUGCAAUUGCAACUAACGCCCAGAAUGCCGAAGAAGCUUCACGUAACUACAGUCCCAUUUCUGCUGUUACCAAGUUUGACUGAUUGAAUAAUGUAAUAAAUGCCUGAUGCAAUCUUCACAA